CUGUCAUAGUACUGGUAUUACUACUGUCAUAGUACUGUUGUUACCACUGUCAUAGUACUGUAUUAUCACAUUUCAGUCUCGAUGGAGCUGGGAAACUGCCCACUGGAUACGCUGUUAUAGAGGGACAUCCUGACCUCAGGUUGUUGUCUAUGACCCAGGAGCAUGGCAGAGUGGAGCCUCUCUCAGGACAACUAGACUACAGCAGAUACCCCCUGGGAACACUGCUGACUAUUAUACCUUACCAUGCUUGUGCAACAGCCAUGAUGCAUUCUGUGUACUACGUCCACUCUGGAGGUCGGCUGGUGGGAAAGUGGACACCCACACGCGGCUGGUGAUCAAAGGAGCAUCAUGGGAAAUGUAGUCCUGGAGGGAAUCAGCCUGAGCAAAGAGCUGGACAGAGUCACUAAUCACCUUGAAGCUCAAAUUACUUAUUAUGUGAUGUUGGGAAAUGUCCUUCCUAUCUUUCCUGAUGUCAUCGGUUCUAUUGCAUUGGGGCGGUACUAUACAGCAGUCACUGACACUAAACCAUGUUUUACACUAAUAAAUUAACCACUUUCCUUAAA